rnacentral:rRNA from 1 species
AAUGAACGCUGGCGGCAGGCCUAACACAUGCAAGUCGAGCGGAUGAAGGGGGCUUGCUCCUGGAUUCAGCGGCGGACGGGUGAGUAAUGCCUAGGAAUCUGCCUGGUCGUGGGGAAUAACGUCCGGAAACGGGCGCUAAUACCGCAUACGUCCUGAGGGAGAAAGUGGGGGAUCUUCGGACCUCACGCUAUCAGAUGAGCCUAGGUCGGAUUAGCUAGUUGGUGGGGUAAAGGCCUACCAAGGCGACGAUCCGUAACUGGUCUGAGAGGAUGACCAGUCACACUGGAAGUGAGACACGGUCCAGACUCCUACGGGAGGCAGCAGUGGGGAAUAUUGGACAAUGGGCGAAAGCCGGAUCCAGCCAUGCCGCGUGUGUGAAGAAGGUCUUCGGAUUGUAAAGCACUUUAAGUUGGGAGGAAGGGCAGUAAGUUAAUACCGUGCUGUUUUGACGGUACCAACAGAAUAAGCACCGGCUAACUUCGUG